rnacentral:rRNA from 1 species
UACGUAGGGUGCGAGCGUUGUCCGGAAUUAUUGGGCGUAAAGGGCUCGUAGGCGGUCCAUCGCGUCGGGGAGUGAAAAGCUGGGGCUUAACCCCAGUCCUGCUUUCGAUACGGGUGGACUAGAGGUAGGCAGGGGAGAAUGGAAUUCCUGGUGUAGCGGUGAAAUGCGCAGAUAUCAGGAGGAACACCGAUGGCGAAGGCAGGUCUCUGGGCCACUACUGACGCUGAGAAGCGAAAGCAUGGGGAGCGAACAGG